rnacentral:rRNA from 1 species
GGUGAACGCUGGCGGCGUGCCUAAUACAUGCAAGUCGAGCGAACAGACGAGGAGCUUGCUCCUCUAAGGUUAGCGGCGGACGGGUGAGUAACACGUGGAUAACCUACCUAUAAGACUGGGAUAACUUCGGGAAACCGGAGCUAAUACCGGAUAAUAUAUUGAACCGCAUGGUUCAAUAGUGAAAGACGGUUUUGCUGUCACUUAUAGAUGGAUCCGCGCCGCAUUAGCUAGUUGGUAAGGUAACGGCUUACCAAGGCGACGAUGCGUAGCCGACCUGAGAGGGUGAUCGGCCACACUGGAACUGAGACACGGUCCAGACUCCUACGGGAGGUAGCAGUAGGGAAUCUUCCGCAAUGGGCGAAAGCCUGACGGAGCAACGCCGCGUGAGUGAUGAAGGUCUUCGGAGCGGAAAACUCUGUUAUUAGGGAAGAACAAAUGUGUAAGUAACUAUGCACGUCUUGACGGUACCUAAUCAGAAAGCCACGGCUAACUACGUG